UGUGUGGCUCCUCUGUGUAACCAAGGUGUCAGACUGAUUGCCAGACGCUUCCGGGUAGUUGUGCGGUGUACUACCGAAGGUCUCGGGCAAGGCACCUGCCGGGUAGCUGUACCACAAUUAAGACGCAAUAUUUAAAAGGUAAAUGUUUGUGUUACAGGUAGAACCAGUGUGUUAGGAUUGAUAGUCUUGAACACAUGCAAAAUGAGUCUGAUUGUGUUGUCCUGAUGUAAUGCAUGGUUGUGUUAAUUGUCAACCCUUAAUAGAAAUGUAUUUAAUGAAUAUAUUGUGUGUAACAACUUAUGUAGGAUUGUGAAGACUGGUGCAGGGGCUCUUUUUCCACUGGUCAUCUUGUAUGUCACCUGGAGGCAGAUUGCUCCUGCUGCUUUGCCUUGCCUAAAUUAAGUGUAUUGAUAGCUGUGCCUUUCUUUUAUAUUUUCUUUUCUUUGUUUUUAGUUAUUUUGCUGUGGCCUCUGAAUAGUGCUCCUGUCGGACCAAUGUGGUAUUGGCUGUUCCAGUAGUAUACAUAGUCCUGUUAAGAUUCUGUUCAGCUGUAUACCUUAUCCAUCCAGCUAGUGAU